rnacentral:sRNA from 1 species
GGAAGCAAAUGGCAUCAGGAACUUUGAAACUUUCCUUUGUAUAUUACAUUAAUCCAUAUAAGAAAAUCUCUUUUAAUGAGGAGUGAUGUAGUUACAAACUCUCCAGAGCCAUAAUUAGAGCAAACUAAUUGAAGUUGUGUUUUGACACACUUUCCAAAUUCACGGGUGCCGGAUGACAUAUUCACAACACUGCUGCUGCACAACCAUGGCGACGGCAAAAUCAUUAGGCUAAUAACACUUAUUUGCAUUCUUAUCAUGCCAGCAGCUCGCCCUUAAAUACUGUUUCUACUAUUGCUCCUUUACUGUAAGUUUCCACUGAAAGAUAUUAACAGUAAUUAUUAGUACUUUAGUAGAAUUUUAAUGUUAAAGA